CCUACGGGAGGCAGCAGUGGGGAAUAUUGCACAAUGGGGGAAACCCUGAUGCAGCGACGCCGCGUGAGUGAAGAAGUAUUUCGGUACGUAAAGCUCUAUCAGCAGGGAAGAAAAUGACGGUACCUGACUAAGAAGCCCCGGCUAACUACGUGCCAGCAGCCGCGGUAAUACGUAGGGGGCAAGCGUUAUCCGGAUUUACUGGGUGUAAAGGGAGCGUAGACGGCAGCGCAAGUCUGGAGUGAAAACCCAUGGCUUAACCAUGGAACUGCUUUGGAAACUGUGCAGCUAGAGUGCAGGAGAGGUAAGCGGAAUUCCUAGUGUAGCGGUGAAAUGCGUAGAUAUUAGGAGGAACACCAGUGGCGAAGGCGGCUUACUGGACUGUAACUGACGUUGAGGCUCGAAAGCGUGGGGAGCAAACAGGAUUAGAUACCCGGGUAGUC
rnacentral:rRNA from 1 species